CGGCACAUGACUCUUCAUCCAGGCCUUGAGCCUGUCUGCCUGAACCCCUACUCCCUGCAAUAUGCCCUAAACACCUACCAGACAGACCAUGGCUCACUGGAGAUGAAGGAAAGAGCUGUACAAAGAGAACAUCAAUCCAGCCCUGCGCUUUGAUUGAUGUCCUGCUGUCCAUCUACUCUCCUCUAUCAAAGUGGCUCUCUGUCUUUGGAAUUCUGAAAGCUUUGCUGACUGUAAACAAGUGUAAAAUUCCUGCACCGUGGCUGUCACCAGUUCAUGGGCCGCAGCCGAGUCCUGUCCCAGUUGGGCCGCCGCAGCCAAGUCCUGUCCCGGUUGGGCCGCCGCAGCCAAGUCCUGCUCCAGUUAGGCCACAACCUCCCAAUAUUGCUGAGCUACAGCAGUCACCUGAACUUUCUGUGCUGCAGCUGACUCCUGUUCUUGCGGAGAUGCAGCUGAAUCCAGCUCCUGAGCUGCUGCAAUCCAUUGUUUCUGAGCUGCAGUCUUCUGAACCUCCUGAGCUGCAGCCUCUUGGUUUCCCAGCAUCACUGGCUCCACCGGUCCCUCUGUCAGCCUCUCUGUUGCUUGACAUAUUACAUUCCUAGAUUUGAAGAUUGUAUUAUUAGCCUGCUACUGUU